UACAGGCUGAGAGAGUAUUUUGUUCUAACUACAUAUUAUUGGAGUUUUCUAGCUUUUUUCACUUUUAGAUAAAGUCAGGCUGUCAAACAUGGAUUAUAUUUGGCAACCUGGCAGUAUCUAAAAGUGACAUAGCGGUGAUUUCCAACACAGUCCUUAAGGCAUGCCAAAAAGACAUGUUUGGCUAGUAUUUCCAUUGGAAUACUACUAGGAGAUUCCUAAAUCCUGCAUUAUUGUUCCUUAAGGACUGGGUUGGAAACCACUAAAUUUUAAAUCUUGAAAUAUACAGUCUUUAAAAUUAUAAUGUUUAAUUUUCUAGUCGGCAGAGUGGUGGACACCAAAAUCAUCAUUGGAAUUGUAGCUGGAAACAUUUUUAUAUUAAUCCUGAUGGGCGUGGGAAUAUUCUGGUAUAUCAGAAAUGACAAUAAGAAUAAAGUGAAAGGUAAGAAAAUGGCAUAUUUUUACAUUUGUUACAUUUUUUUAAUUAUUAUUUAUUUACGUUGACAUUUUUUACAAAUACGUUUCAGGGAAAACGUUCUGGCACAAUGCGGUUCUUAGUAUACAUAGUAGAUAACAUGGGUUUUGUACAUUUGGUAUAUGUUCAGACAUUGAUUGGUAAUUGAAAGAAUAUACAUAACACUCCCAAGUACAUCAGUCCCAACUGCAUAGUUUUUGCUAUUGAGUUUCAUUUUGUCAACGGUUUUUUUAUUUUUUUUAUUUAAAGAAAACACUCAACACUGUUAAAACGUCAAACUGGUUUACCUAAACCAUAUGACCCCCUCUCAUCUGCGCCUCCCUUUAGGUGUCGUGCACCCACUAUCCUUUACUUUACUUUGUAGUGAGAAAAUCUCCUCAGAAUGUUGGGGUGGGGGACAUUUGUUACAUUUUAAUCCUCAGAGUGAAUGUGUAAUUAAAGCCAUACUUGUAAUCAACUAUUCUGUCUCUGCAUUGAAUGUUAGCUCCCUAUCAACACACUGCAUGUAUAUUUUAUUAGAUAACAUUCACAGCUCAGUUAAGUUUUAAAUAUUACUUAAUCUAUGAAUAUCACAUAUUUAAUGGGGUUAAACAGCAGAUCAAAGCAAAUUGUUGCAUCAAGAUUACAAUGAAUAAAAACAAAAAGACUAGUCUGUUGCACAAAAGUCUGUUUGUUUCACACUUGUCAAUACCAAAUAUACAAAUUAAUAGACACACAAGUUUUUAUGCAAAAUGGGACUUAGUAUAAAUGAUAAACUAGAAUUAUUAAAACUUUUACAUAACACUCACACAAGAUAUAUGCACACAAACACACACACACGCACGCGCACAAACACACACACAUGCAAUUAAAGGACAUAAUUUGAAGUUGGGCUGGGAAAGUUAAAGAUUGCAAAACUUGUAUUAAGGAAGAAUAGACUUUAAAAUGAUGAUUACUAGCAGUAUUUAGCCUGAUGUAGGUAUAUAUUUUAUGAAACAUAUAGCAGCAAAGCAUUUUGCAAAAUAUAAUAUCGUUAAUAAUUGGUGUAAAUCAAAUGCAUGUGUUUCUGUGUUAAUAAGGAAUUAGAAAUAACAACACUGAGCAGAAGACUGAAGUGACAGAAUCAGAAUACCAGGUACAAAAAUGUUUCUUCUUUGGAAAUUCUGUAUGAUUGAGUUCCUUAAUAGUUAAUACUUCCUUGAUGGAAAACAUUGUCAGACAGGCCUGCACACUAGAGAUGUCACGAACCGUUCGCGAACUUCCCGCAAACGGCUCGCCACGGUUCGCCAUGAACCGUUCGUGGCGAGCUCCGGUCAGCUGACACAUCCCGGCCAAACUCCAGCAGACCCUCCCUCCCAGACCCUCCCACCUCCUGGACAGCAUCCAUGUUGAAGGCAGCUUCACGGUUCGCAACAUCUCUACUGCACACCUGUUUAUUAAUCCAACCAUCUAAUCAUCCAUUUGAUGGUGGUAGAAUGAAUGAUAGAAGGAAUAGGAUUUGUGCUGUGAUUGUUGAUACCAGGGGUGGUGAUUUGAGUGAUUCAGAAACUCCUGUAAUCUUCAUGAAUAACAUUUUUAGGGUUUGCUGAGAAUGGUGCAAAAAACAAAGGAUUUGGUAAACGUUAGUUCUAAAGGUGAUUAGUCUUGUAAAUAGAAAAGGUCAGAUGAGGGUGCAGAAAACACUGGUUCAGAUAGACCUGAAGUAACCCAGUAACCCAAAUAGCCACGUUACAACACUGCUAAUUCAGAGGAGCACCUCUGAACACACAAAGGCAUGAACUUUUAACUGCACUGGUCUACUAUCAGCUAAGCACAAUUGGCUACAUUGAACACUGGUGCACCAGAUUUUGACACAGCGUAAGAAUGUCAUCCCCAUUCACCUGAUUCAAUAUAUCUCAUUUUGUACUGCAAGAUAGUAGGGACAACUUUUUGUGACUUUUUUUUAUUUAUUACUGGCAUUUAUAAAGCGCCAACAUAUUCCGCAGCGCUGUACAAUUGUAAGAACAAUACAAUGUAAACAGACCAAUACAAAAGGUAGGUGACCUUGCCCAUGAGCUUACAAUCUAAAGGUAAAAUAGGAAAAGAGGUAGCAAAGGAAAUUGCAGGUGAUGGCAGAGAAGAUUUAUAGUGUGACUGUCGUUAUUAAAAACAUGUGAAGGGAAUGAGGAGGUGAUUGACUGUGCUUGGAAAAAGCCAGAGCAGUCAUGCUACAUAGUUAGAAGGAACCAGGGUGGGUGGGUAGAGCUGAGUAGGAAUGAAGAUUCUUAGUAGCAGGGAUGGAAGAUAAAUUGGGCCUGAGGAAGAAGAAGGAUACACAGUAAUAUAAAGGAAGUUACAGCUAGGAGUGGCAAGCGGGGAGUUGUGGAACAGACUAGCCAUUUGUUGCACAUAUUAAACUAUUUGCCAAUUGAAUCCUAUCAAGCAGAUUAUUAAUUACUACAGGUAACUGCAAGUACAAAUAUUAUAGUAGUAAACUAGAGGUAAAAAUGGUAACAUUUUAAUAGUAAAUUAAUACGUAGUAAAAAGGUGAAAGGAAUCCGGUGAGAUAUCUUCUGAAUCCCAUACCUUAAAGCUUCUGUGUUCAAAUGAAGAUUCUCAUUUGCAGGCAUAACAUAAAUAUAUAGUUAUAUAGCAAUCUAGGUUGAAAAAAUACACAAGUUCAUGGAGUUCAAACUUUAAAAUUCACAUUUUUAGGAAUCUGAUCACAAAGAAGGCAAACAAACCAAACAAGCAAAUUUGAAGCAGUGUCCAAUUACGUCACAAAAAAAGAAACUACUUAGAGGUAAUCAGCUUUUUCUUUCAAUAAAUAACCAAUCAACA